AGCCAGGCACUGCGCUCGUGGCCGCCGCCCAACCCCGCCAGGUCCGGAAGGAAGCAACGGUAAGCGGUAGGUGCGGUGAUGCAGAGCGCCUGGCUUCG
rnacentral:SRP_RNA from 1 species